GAGCAGUGUUAGGAUAACUGACUUUUUGUUGUUCUCUGGGUGCAUUCUUCCCGCUCCCCCUCUCUCUCCCCCUCACCCUCUCUCUCCUCUCUCUCUCCCUCUCCCUCUCUCUCUUUUAAAAAAUCAGCCAUUUGGGGUUUUAAGCCAUAAACGAUUUUUCUUGUUGCAGGGGAUUGCAGAGGCAAAGCUAGGCUAGGUCUUGGAGGCUGGUGUGAGGCGGUGCGGGUAAGGCAGGAGCAGGCUGAUGGAAGAAGACACUGGUGGAAGAAAAGCCGAAAUGGAUUCUCCGUGCCUUGGAUGGAGGAAGAGGGGGAAGUGCGAGCUCCUUCAACUCAUUCCGUCCGGUGAGGAGUGAUCCAGCUUGGGCUGACAAGAGGCUCCGGGGGCCCUCACGUUCAGUGCUUUUUUACCUGCCAAUCAAACUGCUACAAGACAACACCCUGUUCUGGCAUGGACGCUGUGUCCACAGGGGAAUGUAGCACUUGCCUCUCGUGCAUUGUCUUCUCUACGGGAAGACACAGGCAGCAUACUGAUGUCAGCUGAAGUCCAGUGAAUCCCAAGGCCCCAGGAUCUCAAACAAAAGAACCCGGGCCAAGAAAAACUGUAGGACACUGAAGACGUGGACAUGUGUGUUCAGAAAGCGUAAAUGCAGGUGGAGGAGUGAGCGGCUCCGCUGGGACUGUGUGGUGACAGGGAAGAAGAGCCAGAGUGAGCCCUGGAUGCAGGAAGAGAGCACCGGAUGCUGAAAGAUUGAAUCUAGAAAUUCUUCUCAAGACUCAUUUAAAAGAAUCUGACUGGUUGCUUUGGUCUAAGAAUUCAGGCGUCUCUUGCAAAACUAAGGAAGACCUCAUUUUCCAUUUGUGGUCCUAUUGGUCAGCCCCGGGCCCUGUGAGAAGCUUACCAGGAGGUCCCAUGCUGGAAGGUCCAUGUGAGUUCAUCUCAGACAAUGGGUGGCCCCACGGUUUUAGUGACUCACACAGCGGAGAACCACAUUCUCUCUGGAAGAUCUUAGCAACUUGCAUUUGGUAACACAGCGAGGAUGAGCACAGCUCUGGCUGGCCUGGAACUCCCAAUGUAGACCAGACUGCCCUCACGUCUCUGUGCGCCUCUCCAGCCUAUGCCUUCAGGUGUGUGUGGUUCCUUGCUCACCCUGUCGUUUCCCUGGAAAGGCUCCUCUUCUCCUUCAGACAGUAUGGCCCAGUGUGGCAGCUUCUGGCCUUGUCCCUUCAGGACCAGGUCCUCCUGUGGGUGAGCUUUUAUGGGGCUCUAGUCUGUAGAAGGGAAGAAGAAAAGAAACAGAAUGACCCCCCACCCCACCCCUGAAGCCUGGUGGUCAACAUCCGGGCAUAACACACUCAGAACUGGCUCAGUAACCCCAAACCAGCACAUAGUUGUGGUUCAAGCUAGAAACCAUAAAAAUCCAAGUCACUUUUUAAACUGUAAAAUGUCAAAAUGGCUGUCCUUUUUAAUGUGGAGAAAUUAUAUUCUGGAUAAGUCAAAAUAAUGAUAUUAAUUUUAUUUUAAAAUAUUCUAAAAUGAAUACGUCUUUCUUGUUACCUUAGUGGAGACCGGGGUUAAGAAAGCGAGCAUUAUCUGCCCUUAGGUCUCGGGCUGGGGCUGAGCAGUAAUAAAGAACUCGGAGACAUAGAGGAGGGUCUACAUUCAACUCCCAGUGCUUCAAACGAACCAUCCACAGGUCUUCAGUGUUAGUUAGACGGCCAAGCUUGGCGUGUAGAAAAUGGCUGGCCAACCAAACCAGAACUGUAAGCAAUUUAUUUUUUACUGAUACACACUUCCACUGAAAAACAGCUAUUUAUCUCAAAUUUAAAUUUAGCUGGGUGUCUGGCUUUUGUUUUUUCUCCUUUUUCUGGAGAAUUUCAACAAUAACAAACUCAUGGUUAGAAGGGCUUGAGGUGUUAUUUUGUUUUUUAAAGGCUUUAUUUUCCCAAUGCCUGGGAUUAUAGUAAGGAUUCCUGUGACCUGCUGGAACCUUGAAGUAGGGCAACACCCAUUAUGACCUUAUCAGUCCAAGAGCAGGUGCGACACAUUCGUCAACCUGCAUCCUCAGAACAAGCUGGGGAUGUAGGCAGGAACCUGGUCUCCAGAUGAGGAAAGGGAGAGCCUGGCACACUGAGCCACACAGCUGUGAGGGCAAGAAGCAGGACUGGAAGCCAGCUGAGAUCUGUCCCAGAGCAACAGGCUAAGAAACACUAAAAUUCACUAAAAUCACAAAUGUCUCAGGCUUGACGUGUAGCUUGGUUGAUAAAGGGCUUGUCUAACAUCAGAAGGCCUGUUUUGGAUCAAAUGCCACACAAACCUGGCACAAAUGGGUAGUGGUGAACACUUGUAAUCCCAGCAUUUGUGAAGUAGAGGCAAAAAGAUCAGCCAUUGAAGCCAUCCUCAGCUCCAGAGAGAGCUGGAGGCCAAUGUCUGGCAUCUCUCCCUUAGGCAAUUGGUCACAUUAUUUUAUAGUAUCACAUUAGCAAACAAAAAAGAGAUAGAGAUAUUAAAAUAGCGUCACAUUAAGAUAAUCAGAAGUUUGUCUUUUGAUUGGGUCGUGUGUUUUUAUUUAAAAAUCAAAGCACACAAGCACAUGCUGGAUGGUGUUUGCCCAUCAUCCUCCGUAGUACUGAAGUUUGAUUUGCACUGCAAAAAUCUGAGAAACCCAAAACAUCAGCAGGACUUUUCCCGGCCAAAAUGCUGCAAGAGCCCGGAAUGGCCCCAAUGGGUCGGGCUGCCCUUCCCUGCUCUUGAGGCCUUCCUGGUAGAAUGGAGUGCAGGCUUGCUCUCCCCUGACACAUCACCGGCCUUUGCUUUCCUUGCCCUGCAGAGCCCUGUGGGAUAUAAAUGCUAUUAUAUAACCGGCCCCUCCCACCGCUCGCUCACCGGCCUUUGAUCGGUCUUAGAAGGUGAUUACAUAGCUUCAUUUAUUUCUUUGAAUACUCAAGUUUCACGGUCAUUAAAGUAAUCACAGACUCAUCCCAGUCUCCAUGUGAGGGCAAUGUCUCCUCUAACCACGACCGUUUCUCCUCCUCUGUAGCCAUCAUCUCUCCCCUGCUCUCUAGCCCCCUUCCUGUUCCACCUUCACCGCUGCCAUAAAAGACUGCGGUAAUUUUAAUACCUCUUUGGCAAUGAAUCAUGACAUUUAUUCAGCUGAUCUCCAAGCCAUGAGAAGCUGGGUCUUACACUGUACAGAGCAAGCAAAUCGCAAAGAGCAGCUCAGCGAGGAAAGGGUUAAUCGGCCACGGUCACUUGUACCACGAGGUCACAUAGAGAAGUCCGCGUCCCCCCCCCCCCCCCAUCUUCCUCAAGGAAGGGGAAAGAUCCUGCCUGGGCAGGAGGCCACCGGAGGAUGCGAUCGAUCGAUGAGUACCCAGCUUUGCUUUCUCUUCGAGGGAGACGAGAUUGGAGAGCUGCGUGUUUGAAAUAACAACUUCUAUCAGUCAUGUCUGUGUGGUUGGGGUCUAUGUUUUUCUGGCUUUAUUUGAUUACUGUUGUUAAAGAUGAUGCCCGCCCUGCUCCUUGGGGACUUAUUUAUUGGGAUGAGAAAAGGAAAAAAAAGGUCACACGUAAACUUUGAAUCAGUUUUGUAUUUGUAAACGCAUGAACAUUGUUCCCCAGGAAUUUUUUUCAAUUCUGAAGUUGAUAUAAAUAUCAUAUCACUAUGGCUAGACAUAUGCUAAGAGUUUGAGGUUUCUUUGCUUGGAAGGUUUGAAGGAAGGGAAGCUACCAAAUAGUUAUUUUAAGACCCAAAAUGUGUGAGGCGUGGGAAAUGGCCUGCUCAGUGGAUAAAAGAGCCUGCCCCACACAAGCCUAGGGGGCUGGAUUUGAUCCUGGGAACAUGUGGUAGAAGAGACCCCAACUUCACAAAGUUAUCCUCUGACUUCCUCCACACAAGGUCCAUGGCAUGUGUACACACACACACAGU